rnacentral:misc_RNA from 1 species
UGUCAGAUUUAAUAUCAGAGUGUGCAUGAUUUAUCCAAUUACUUCCAAAAAGGGUUGUGUUUUCAUUCAGUAUUUAGAAAUAGUGUCGAAUGUUUGGGUGUUUUGAUAGCUGCAGGAGAUGUUGGCACGUACAGAAUUAUUCUUUCACAUGUAGUGAAUUAUUUUGCUAUCAUUGCUACCGACUGCCAGCCGUAGUUUACGAAAUAUUAAUGAAGUUGUGCGUGGAUGUACGUUAACAUCCUGCUUCUUGUCAACACUGAACAGCUUGGACAGCCGGUUGCGCUGACUGGUAUGCCCAUAGGAGCAAUAGGGGGUAUGCCCAUCUUGUCAAUGGAUUGCCGAAGUAGGCUAGCUAGUCCGAGCAGGAUCAUAGCUACUAAACGGCCACACAGGGCCCCCAUUGCGAUACCACAUUGGCCAUAAUAAUGAACCAGAUGAGUAAACGUACACGUAUUUAAUUUGCUGUGAGCACAUGCAGUGGGAAAAUAGGCGGACUGCAGACGGUCGAACCAAGGCUUUCCGUAGAAACAGAGGCCCAGGAAAAGAUCAAGAUGGCUUGUGAUGGAGAUCCCGCGCAGCAGACAGCGGCAGAUGAUGACAGCCACAGGAAUGCAGAGAACAGAGGCGGUGAGCCAGAAAGGGAAGGGGAGGAACUGGACAACGAGGUGAAGGGGCUGGAUAAAGAGACAAGCGUUAGGGAACAUCGAUUCAUGCCAAUCGAUCGGCUCAACAUCUUCAGCGAUGCCGUGUUUGCCACAAUCACCACAUUCAUGGUUGUCCCAAUAAAAGAGGAAGUGCAGAAUUAUGACGUCACAAAGGAUUUAUGGAGCAGCCUGGGGACCGACUGGUAUCGAUUCCUGGUAUUCUUUAUAUCUUUCCUCGUAGUAUCGACCCUUUGGCAAGAUCAUGUGUGGAUCCUACAGAGAGUUGAGUACGUAGGCGACAUCGGACUUAUUCUGAAUGUGCUCUUACUACUUGUGGCUUCCUUAAUCCCAUUUCUGGUCGCUCUGGUGGGUGAUUUUUAUCGCUUCUCCUUAAUUUCGCAGCUUUUUGGAGGAUGUGUUCUAGCUCUCUCAGUGAUCCAGGGGAUAAUGAUUGCUUUGGCGUUCCGUAGAGGGAAGAUGUUGUCAGAUCAGCUAGCAGAGGGAUCAUCAAAGAAGUGGUUGAGUGUGGAGUUCCUCUUAACGGCUGGACUGAAGAUCGUUCUGUCUGCCUUCUCUAUCGGUAUUGCGGUAGCUAAUGUUCCAACGUCGUUUGUCUUCCUGGGUUUGAUCAUGUUUACGGAUUGGGUAUGCAUCGUUGCAGUCGCCAUCUACAGAAGUCGCAAAGAUAACACAUUCACCAUUGGGCUGCGAUCGUAUGUAUGCCGACGGUUCGUUCUAGAAGAUGUGGACAUAGACCGAACACAAACUUUUACGGACGGUGUUUUCAUCAUCGUGGCAACUCUGAUCAUUCUAGACAUCACAUCUGAUUCCUUGCUGCCAUUGGAUCCAAACAUGGAAAAGGAAGAAUUGUAUCAAUCUCUACUGGACAAGAAGGAGGCCCUCUUGGCAUAUGUAUCGACUUUUCUAACUAUCGGCAUGAUCUGGUACAUCAAUUACUCCAUGUUUUACUAUAUUCAGAGGCUCAGCCGUCUUCUUUUGCUGUUCAACCGAUUGACUUUGUUGUUCAUCAGCGUUGUUCCUGUUGGGUUCCAGUUGGUGUCAGUAUUUUCAGUGGAGAAGGCGGGUAGGAAUGAGAACAUAGCCGUGCAGUUCCACUGUGUCCUUAUCUUCUUCACAUCUGUCUGCCAGUUGCUGUUUUGGUUAGCAGCACAUUGGAAACGGGACAAGCAUUUGGCAUCAAGGCCGGACAGAUUGCACAUAGGACGAAUAAUGUGUCUUCUUCUCGUUUAUCCAAUCAUGAGUUUAGUCAUAUUCUGCUCUGCAUUCGGUUCAUCCCCAUUUAAAGUUAAUAUCAUUCAUGCGGUGGAAUUGACCAUUCCUAUCAUCUUCCUAUUAAUCAAACUUAUAAUCGAAGUUGUCCUUGUAAGUACUGCCUUUCUUUUUUUUCUUACCUUGUUGUUUCAACCGCUUGCUCUCUCCGCUGUAAUUUAUGGAUUAGGCUGUUCCAAAGGGGUUUCUUUCUCUGGUGUAUUUUCGAAUUAACCUUUUAAGUUAUGUUUUAGAAUUCACAUUGGAGGCUUUGCUGGUUUUACUCACGCUCAUAUUCCUCUCCAUUUUAUUGCAUAAUGUUACUGCCACCUGUCUAGUUUCUGUAUCAGUUUGUCAAUAGAAUUCGUCAGUUUGUCUGUCUGUUGUUUCCGUGUUGUCUUUCAUCCUAAUUUGCCAUUAUCUUUCUGUCUCUCUUGAAUGUCUGUCCAUGGCUAACAUCACCAACGCGGCAUAAAUGGUUUUUGCCUCAUAAUCGGAGCAGUCAAGGUAUUAGCCUUAGCAACCGCGUUUCCAUAGACAUGCGGUCCCCCCAAA